CCUACGGGUGGCUGCAGUGAGGAAUAUUGGUCAAUGGGCGCGAGCCUGAACCAGCCAAGUAGCGUGAAGGAUGACGGCCCUAUGGGUUGUAAACUUCUUUUAUGCGGGAAUAAAAUGCGCCACGUGUGACGUUUUGUGGGUACCCUAUGAAUAAGGAUCGGCUAACUCCGUGCCAGCAGCCGCGGUAAUACGGAGGAUCCGAGCGUUAUCCGGAUUUAUUGGGUUUAAAGGGAGCGUAGGCGGAAUGUUAAGUCAGCCGUGAAAAUCGGUGGCUCAACCUGGGCAGUGCGGUUGAAACUGGCUUUCUUGAGUGCGCGGGAGGUAUGCGGAAUGCGUGGUGUAGCGGUGAAAUGCAUAGAUAUCACGAAGAACUCCGAUUGCGAAGGCAGCAUACUGGAGCGCAACUGACGCUGAUGCUCGAAAGUGUGGGUAUCGAACAGGAUUAGAUACCCUUGUAGUC
rnacentral:rRNA from 1 species